AGUGAACGCUGGCGGUAGGCCUAACACAUGCAAGUCGAACGGCAGCACAGUAAGAGCUUGCUCUUACGGGUGGCGAGUGGCGGACGGGUGAGGAAUACAUCGGAAUCUACUUUUUCGUGGGGGAUAACGUAGGGAAACUUACGCUAAUACCGCAUACGACCUACGGGUGAAAGCAGGGGAUCUUCGGACCUUGCGCGAUUGAAUGAGCCGAUGUCGGAUUAGCUAGUUGGCGGGGUAAAGGCCCACCAAGGCGACGAUCCGUAGCUGGUCUGAGAGGAUGAUCAGCCACACUGGAAGUGAGACACGGUACAGACUCCUACGGGAGGCAGCAGUGGGGAAUAUUGGACAAUGGGCGCAAGCCUGAUCCAGCCAUACCGCGUGGGUGAAGAAGGCCUUCGGGUUGUAAAGCCCUUUUGUUGGGAAAGAAAAGCAGCAGGUUAAUACCCCGCUGUUCUGACGGUACCCAAAGAAUAAGCACCGGCUAACUUCGUG
rnacentral:rRNA from 1 species